AGCGAACGCUGGCGGCAGGCCUAACACAUGCAAGUCGAACGAACCCUUCGGGGUUAGUGGCGGACGGGUGAGUAACACGUGGGAACGUGCCUUUAGGUUCGGAAUAACUCAGGGAAACUUGUGCUAAUACCGAAUGUGCCCUUCGGGGGAAAGAUUUAUCGCCUUUAGAGCGGCCCGCGUCUGAUUAGCUAGUUGGUGAGGUAAUGGCUCACCAAGGCUACGAUCAGUAGCUGGUCUGAGAGGAUGACCAGCCACAUUGGGACUGAGACACGGCCCAAACUCCUACGGGAGGCAGCAGUGGGGAAUCUUGCGCAAUGGGCGAAAGCUUGACGCAGCCAUGCCGCGUGGAUGGUGAAGGUCUUAGGAUUGUAAAAUCCUUUCACCGGUGAAGAUAAUGACUGUAGCCGGAGAAGAAGCCCCGGCUAACUUCGUGCCAGCAGCCGCCGUAACAC
rnacentral:rRNA from 1 species